rnacentral:lncRNA from 1 species
AAUCAACUCGUAAUUUCACAUUCCUGAAACAAGUGGAUCACAACCUGCCACAAUAAUCAAGGAGUGGAACUCCAUCAUUCUAGAGAGCCUGGAAGCAUUGUGUUUCACAAAUGGUAUGGGCAUAUGAACUCCAAUAACUUAAAUUAAAACUUCAAUUUAUCUCUUUGGUAAAAAUUUCUCUGCAUUAUCUAAGAUGCAAAAUUCUGAAAGAAUUACAGCAGUAUCUCAACCAAAACAACAAGAUAACAAAUUAGAGUUGUCGCUAUUCACAAACUUCCAAAUGCCUCAGAAAAAAAUUUUGACUUUAAGCCUGAACUGUUGACCAGCUCCUUAGCUGAUAGAGAUUCAGAUUGCGCCAUCUUACUACCAUCUUAUAGACAAGGGUAAAGAAUGCUGAGACUGAAAAAUCUUCCUCGCAUUGUCAUCCAUCUUUUCCAGAAAUUACUUCCAUCUUAGGCGCAAUUCUUCCCUUUGAGUGAAAACAGAUACAAGUAGAGAUUUAAUAAAUAAAGGCCUUAGUUAUUUACAUAGCAGGCAUGCACCCAUUAUUCAUAUAAUGAAUUUAAUAUCUGAACUAUGCCAGCAAUAGACAGAUACCUAAAUCAGUUUGGAUCUAAUCCGCACAGGAUAUGCGUAAAAGGUGAUUGCNNN